GACGAACGCUGGCGGCGUGCUUAACACAUGCAAGUCGAACGGAAAGGCCCUGCUUGCAGGGUGCUCGAGUGGCGAACGGGUGAGUAACACGUGGGUGAUCUGCCCCUUAUUUUGGGAUAAGCCUGGGAAACUGGGUCUAAUACUGGAUAGGACCAUGCUGUAGGUGGUGUGGUGGAAAGAUUAGUUUCGGUAAGGGAUGAGCUCGCGGCCUAUCAGCUUGUUGGUGGGGUAAUGGCCUACCAAGGCGUCGACGGGUAGCCGGCCUGAGAGGGUGGACGGCCACAUUGGGACUGAGAUACGGCCCAGACUCCUACGGGAGGCAGCAGUGGGGAAUAUUGCACUAUGGGCGCACGCCUGAUGCAGCGACGCCGCGUGGGGGGUGACGGCCUUCGGGUUGUAAACUCCUUUCAGCCAUGACGAAGCCCUUGUGGUGACGGUAGUGGUAGAAGAAGCACCGGCUAACUACGUG
rnacentral:rRNA from 1 species